rnacentral:rRNA from 1 species
AGAGUUUGAUCAUGGCUCAGGACGAACGCUGGCGGCGUGCUUAACACAUGCAAGUCGAACGAUGAACCACUUCGGUGGGGAUUAGUGGCGAACGGGUGAGUAACACGUGGGCAAUCUGCCCUUCACUCUGGGACAAGCCCUGGAAACGGGGUCUAAUACCGGAUAAUACUUCCACUCGCAUGGGUGGGGGUUGAAAGCUCCGGCGGUGAAGGAUGAGCCCGCGGCCUAUCAGCUUGUUGGUGAGGUAGUGGCUCACCAAGGCGACGACGGGUAGCCGGCCUGAGAGGGCGACCGGCCACACUGGGACUGAGACACGGCCCAGACUCCUACGGGAGGCAGCAGUGGGGAAUAUUGCACAAUGGGCGAAAGCCUGAUGCAGCGACGCCGCGUGAGGGAUGACGGCCUUCGGGUUGUAAACCUCUUUCAGCAGGGAAGAAGCGAAAGUGACGGUACCUGCAGAAGAAGCGCCGGCUAACUACGUGCCAGCAGCCGCGGUAAUACGUAGGGCGCAAGCGUUGUCCGGAAUUAUUGGGCGUAAAGAGCUCGUAGGCGGUCUGUCGCGUCGGAUGUGAAAGCCCGGGGCUUAACCCCCGGGUCUGCAUUCGAUACGGGCAGACUAGAGUGUGGUAGGGGAGAUCGGAAUUCCUGGUGUAGCGGUGAAAUGCGCAGAUAUCAGGAGGAACACCGGUGGCGAAGGCGGAUCUCUGGGCCAUUACUGACGCUGAGGAGCGAAAGCGUGGGGAGCGAACAGGAUUAGAUACCCUAGUAGUCC